rnacentral:rRNA from 1 species
UCCAGACUCCUACGGGAGGCAGCAGUGAGGAAUAUUGGUCAAUGGCCGAGAGGCUGAACCAGCCAAGUCGCGUGAGGGAUGACGGCCCUACGGGUUGUAAACCUCUUUUGUCGGGGAGCAAAGAGAGUCACGUGUGGCCCAUUGAGAGUACCCGAAGAAAAAGCAUCGGCUAACUCCGUGCCAGCAGCCGCGGUAAUACGGAGGAUGCGAGCGUUAUCCGGAUUUAUUGGGUUUAAAGGGUGCGUAGGCGGACAGUCAAGUCAGCGGUAAAAAUGCGGUGCUCAACGCCGUACAGCCGUUGAAACUGGCAGUCUUGAGUGGGCGAGAAGUAUGCGGAAUGCGUGGUGUAGCGGUGAAAUGCAUAGAUAUCACGCAGAACUCCGAUUGCGAAGGCAGCAUACCGGCGCUCAACUGACGCUCAUGCACGAAAGUGUGGGUAUCGAACAGGAUUAGAUACCCUAGUAAUG